GAUGAACGCUGGCGGCGUGCCUAACACAUGCAAGUCGAACGGAGUCCCGCCUUAGAGACCUUCGGGUCAAAGAGGGGAAGACUGAGUGGCGGACGGGUGAGUAACACGUGGGCAACCUGGCUCAUAGAGGGGGAUAACAGAGAGAAAUUUCUGCUAAUACCGCAUAAGCACACACUGCCGCAUGGCAGAGUGUGAAAAGAGAAUCGCUAUGAGAUGGACCCGCGUCUGAUUAGCCAGUUGGCAGGGUAAGAGCCUACCAAAGCGACGAUCAGUAGCCGAUUUGAGAGGAUGAACGGCCACAUUGGGACUGAGACACGGCCCACACUCCUACGGGAGGCAGCAGUGGGGGAUAUUGCACAAUGGGGGGAACCCUGAUGCAGCGACGCCGCGUGAGUGAAGAAGUAUUUCGGUAUGUAAAGCUCUAUCAGCAGGGAAGAUAAUGACAGUACCUGAAGAAGAAGCCCCGGCUAACUACGUG
rnacentral:rRNA from 1 species